AGCCACCCAGGAGCCCCUUAACUGCUGUUUUCCGUCAACCUUAUUACCAUUUUGUGUUUAGGAGUCUGCGAAAGAAUAGCUUAAGACAAUGCAGUGGCUGUUCCUACCCGGCGGGGUCUUCAGGGCCAUCUCAGUCGCCUGCUCAGCGCUCCAAUUGUCCUCAAAGAACUGCUGAAUAGGCCCAGAGGGCACUGCACGCCUUCAGGUGAAUCUGCAACCUCGGAUUGAGUAGCAGUAAAUUCGGGAGCUGGAGCAGUCCAGUCACCCUAAAAUUCCUCCUUGGUCACAGUCUUUUCAGCAGUGGUCUGCUCUUCCUUUUCUACCUUUUCAGGAUCUCCGUAGAAGGAGAGCUGGAGCCUGAGCUCCCGCAAGUGUUCACGGGAGAUGGCGCUGUACAUGCGCAGAAACUCCGGGACCAGCAUGCACCACAUCAGUACCACUAAAUGAGCUUUUUCUCUCUCCUUCUCUCUCUCUCUCUCUCUCUCUCUCUCUCUCUCUCUGUCUCUCUCUCUCUCAAUGUCUUUUUUCUCUCUUUUCUCUCUCUCUCUCUCUCUCUCUUUUUUUUUUUUUUUUUCUUGCAAGAGACAGCAAUGCCUGCAUAGUGCCAAGAAGAGUCUGGAUUACACAGAGCAAAGAAGUCAACCCACCUAACUGGAUUCCUGCUGCAAGGAAUUUGAGGACACCCUCCUCCUUCAUUUACAGAACAUCAAGGGCUCCAGGGAGGGUGACGUUUCCCCUUCAACUUACAAUGGGAAUCCAGAACAAUGCCAUAUGGACUCCUUUCUGUUGAACGUUGAGUGAGCUUGGCUUCAAAGCAAGCAUGAUGAACAAGAAACAUGGCUAGUGGACAUGAGGAGGAAACGAGGACCAUACGAGAGAGAAAAACAGAAAAUCAUAUUUUAAUUGGGCUGUGAAGUUGGAUGCAGGCCUACAAGAACUCAUAGGAAAAAGAUACAUAAUUCCAAAAAGACUUACAGAUCCUUGAAGAAAUGACUUGUUCUAAGGCUGAAAUUGAGAAAAUACAAGAAAUCCCAGCUGAGAACUCGGAAGUGUAGAAAGAAAAUUAUUUUUCUUCCUUUACUGUUUUCACUCUCAGAAACUGGAUAAAUAAGAGUUGAAUAAAACUAAAGCAAGGGGAAGGAAGGCGAUAAUAAAGACAAAAGCAGAAAUUAAUACAACUUAAGGGAGAAGAGAAACAAUAGAGAAAACCAGCAUAACCAAAUGUUCUUUGAAAAGAUGUAUAAGCCAACUGACUUGUUGCUUGGAUCAAGAUGAUGAUAGAGUAGAGAUGGUGAGAAAUAGUCAGAUUCUGGAUAUGUUUUGAUGGUUGAGCCUAUAGGACUUUUGAUACAUUAGCAGAAGGCUAUGAGAAAAAGAAUCAGGGAUGUCUUCAAGGGUUUGGAUCUAAGCCACUAGGAAAAUACAUUUGCCAUACACCAAUAAAAGGAAAACAGAAGAAGGAGCAGGUUUAGGAGGUACAUCAGUCAAGAUAUGUUUUUUCUCUGAACAUGACAGAGGAAACCAUAUAAAAAUUACUUUAACAUUAUGUAAGUUUAUAGUAUAGCUCAUGUAAAACAAGUCUGGAGAGAGAUAAUCAAAAUAUCAUUGGAGAUUCAAAAUCACAUAUUUAUGCUCUGCUGUCCUGGCACAUGUUUCUCCUUCUCAAUUUCAACUGUUGUUAUUCAGAUGAGACCAAAUCCAGUAAAUAUGUGCUCAUUCAAGCUGAAAGAAGGAAAUUCAGGCUCUCUUUAUGGGAACCCUUUCAAUUGUGUUAGUUCUCUUUAAGCAGCCACGCUGAAAGUCCCAUGUAAUAGAUCCAUUGACAUCACAUUGGUUAGAGUUAGAUGCAGGACAAGCCCUUUUGCAAAAAAGGCUCUAGACAAAGUAAUAUCUGAUACUGGACACUGAUCUAUUCAACUAAAACCAUGGCUCCAGAGGGCACAUGCUAAAAAUUCUGUGGAAUAAGAAGGAGAGGGAGAUGGAGAUUAGGAAAUAUACAGAGCCACAUGGGGAUAAAAUAUGGCAAUGAGAAAAUCUUGGAAAUUCUGUGAUAGAUGCACACAGUGAUAUGACAUAAUGACAUGAAGAACAGUAUGAGAAAUGUUAGCAUUUGUAGUGAUCCAAAGGCAGCAAUCUAACAAUCUAGCCUAGUCAAAAAGCCAGUCAGAUGGUCACAAACAUUUUGAAAGAGAAAAUUCAGGUGUUAAAGAACAGGAUAGAAGUAAGAAAAAAAAAAAACAAACAGGCAAAAGAGUUUGAAGGAGAAGACAGAAGACAGAAUCUGGAAAAAUUAUCUGAAAAGGAGCAGCAAAGACUCCACAGAGUGCUUGUAGACCAAGGUAUGGAGUGGAAAGGAGAGGGGAACAGUAACUUGUACUAAAAACUUUGGUCAUUGUUGCAAAUCUAAUUUCAAUUAUAGAACAGCUCCUAUAUACCAUCCAUGGUACAGAUGGGACACAGUUACAUCUUUAUCACUAAUUACUGGUAACUAACAAUUAUUGGUAAUGUUGGUA